GACGAACGCUGGCGGCGUGCUUAACACAUGCAAGUCGAACGAGAAAGCACCUUCGGGUGUGAGUACAGUGGCGAACGGGUGAGUAACACGUGGGCAACCUGCCCCAGAGACUGGGAUAACGUCCCGAAAGGGACGCUAAUACCGGAUGUUGCGCGAUCUGCCAAGUAGGUCGCGCCAAAUGGUAGCUUCGGCUUCUGCUCUGGGAUGGGCCCGCGCCGGAUUAGCUCGUUGGUGAGGUAACGGCUCACCAAGGCGACGAUCCGUAGCUGGUCUGAGAGGACGAUCAGCCACACUGGGACUGAGACACGGCCCAGACUCCUACGGGAGGCAGCAGUGGGGAAUCUUGCGCAAUGGGCGAAAGCCUGACGCAGCAACGCCGCGUGAGCGAAGACGGCCUUCGGGUUGUAAAGCUCUGUCAGGAGGGACGAAGCCACUCAGGUGAAUAGCCGAGAGGGUGACGGUACCUCCAGAGGAAGCCCCGGCUAACUACGUGCCAGCAGCCGCAGUAAGAC
rnacentral:rRNA from 1 species